UUGAUCUAAUUCUGCAAGGAGAGAGAGAGAGGUAACAAAGAGAAGUCACCUUGAAGUCAACUCAGCACUCCAGGCUGCUCAAGCAGAAAGGCCUCAGCUACUGUAGACUCAAAAGGACAAAAUGCACAGGAAUAAGUCAGGUGAGACCUCCCAUUGUAAUGAACCUCAGCCUGUGCUGCCGAGUUCAGCUGAAUGUUGCACGCUUCACAAAGAGCAAGUCCUACAUUCUGCUUCUCAAUGUUCAACUGAUAGCCCAAGUAUUCACUGCUGAGUAUUUUCCCAUCACUAGAUACAGUGUGGAAACAGGCCCUUCAGCCCACCAAGUCCGUGCUGACCAGUGAUCACCUGUACACCAGCUCUAUCCUUACAGAAGCAAAUUUAACUGACAAACGCACAUCUUUGUAAUGAUUUUAACUCAUCAAUGAUGAUGAAUGAACAUGAAUGGACAUGUCACGAUACUUUACACUCUCACAGGGAAAGAACAUCCUCUGCUUGCCUAGUGGAUGAUGUGGACAAUAUUUGGACAAGAUGGCCAAUAUCAGUUUAUAUUGCGACAUUGGAAUACUUGUAAUCUCCAGAAGGGAAGGACCUAACUCGUGACUUUAAAUAACUAGCCAUCUACUGUCAACAGCAAGUCAUCUAGUAAACUUGGGCUGGUCUGCAUUUAGUUUAUGUGGCUAACUGCAUAAACACCUCAUCUACAGGAGUAGGCUAUAACUAAGUACCCACAGCCCACUCUCUCAAAUCAUCUCAGCUAUCCAUGACAUCAUGACAUCACCUGCCUCAACGUCAACUGGGAACAUGCAAUAAAUUUGGUUGAAGACCCAGGUCCAAAGGAUAUAUCAUUUUAUUCAACAACAAAAAAUAAAGCUGCAAAAGUGGCUGCCCAAAAAUAAAGAUUUUGUUGAUGACAAGGGCACCGUGACAUUUCAGCAGAUUGAUGACAGCAGAAGUAUUGUGAUGAAUGUAUAGCUGUAAGCAAGCUUCUGUAUUUUGUGCCUAAGACAUUAUGCACUGCUGGAACAUAUUAUCCUGAGCCUUAUCUAAUCCGAAGAUAAUUACAAUGUUGAUAUUAUUACAGCUUGAGCUUGACCUUCAAGCCUGUUGUCUUUCUCUUGCACCAGUGUAAAGGGACGACCUGCAAUAUUUGCAUUAUCUUUAACAUGAUACGGAUACAGCACAUACACUGCAAGUGAAAUUCUGGUGGGAAUGGGGGCAGGAGACGGAAACAACUUGUUGUUGCAAGAUAAAAAAAGACAUGCAGAAUAAAAGUAGAACAGAUUUCUGGAGCAAUUGUUUCUUCUCCAGCUUCUGUCAGAUUGUGCAACAAAAUUGAUUUCUUGCCCGAGGAUUUUUUUAAUGUUUUAUCAAAAUGCCUCUGCAGGAUAGCUUCUUCUUUUACCAUUGGCAGAAAAUCCAAGGACAUCCUGGUCACAGGAAAUGGCAACAGGACAGUAAGCAAGUAAGGAAACACUUGCCAACAUUAUUUCAGUCCUUAUUACAAAAUAAUGUGUGCAUUAAAGUGAAUGCCUGACUGCAAUUAUACGUGCAAUGGGAGAACCCGCAAGAGUAUGGAACAAUUAAUUCAAGUGAGAGUGGAAUAGCGAUUUAAAGUGACUGAGAGGUCAGGAUUGUCCUAUAUUGCAUCAAGGUGCUCCAUGAAGUUUGUCCUCUCUGCAUCUGAUUUCUCAAAUGUGGAUGAAUGGAAUGCACUAAAUUCCAAGGAGUAGAAUUGUUUGAGUAACUCAUCAAUGGGAAGGUGUGAGGUAAAGGAAAAUAUGUUAUACUUGCUGCGGUUGAGUGGGAUUGAGGCUGAGAUGGGGAAGGUUUGUUGGGGAAGGAGGAGCAGACCAGGGAGUCGUGAAGGGAAUGGUUCCUUCAGAAUGAUGAAAGCAAAGGGGAGAACAAAAAGAUGCGCCUAGUGAUGGGAAACUGUGAUCUUUUGCAGUGUGAGGGCUAGUCAGGUAGAAGGUCCAGGGGUUUUCUAUUCAUAGUCUUCUUGAGUGUGGAAAUUCAAUUAUCCUGGUUUCCUUGUCCCUAUCGGAGGUGCUUUGUUUGUGACAUUUUGCACACAUGCCGCCGAGGUACCUUCCAUCACUGCGAUUCCCCUUUCCCAUUGUUGACGAAGCCAUCAACCAUGUCCCAUCUAUUUCCUAUACCUCUGGUCUAAAUUUGUGAGAGUAUGUUUGUGGUGGGAUGAGUGACUAUUGCCUGUUCCCUUUAAGGGGAGGAGGUGAGCUGCCAUUUUCACAGAUGAAGUUAGCAUUUACGCCAUUAUUUGGUAAAACAAGGGUGGCACAGUAGCAUAGCGUUAGAGCCACUGCCUUACAACGCCAGAGAUCUGGGUUCAAUCCUGACUACGGGCGCUUGGCUGAACGGAGUUUGUGCAUUCUCCCCGUGAUCUGUGUAGGUUUUCUCCAAGAUCUUCGGUUUCCUCCCACACUCCAAAGACGGGGUUGGUAUUAGCUUGGUAUAAAAAGUAAAAUAGUGUGCGUAGGGUAGUGUUAAUGUGCGGGGAUCGCCGGCUGGUGUGGACUCAAGGGACCGAAAGGCUUGUUUCCUGCGCUCUAUCUAAACUAAACUAAACUUUUUGUUUGCCAGUGUGUCUGCAAUGUAUGGGUCACUACUGAAACAUCUAUUGCUACACUUCCUUUGUCAGAAUAUAAAAGUGAUAUUUCUUGAAUAUACAUUCGUUCCAAGAAGUACCAGGCAUAUUUCUUGGUGCCCAGAUCAUAGCAAGAACAUGCAAUCAGUGACGAUAGCUUAAAAAGAGUAAACUGUUCUUUCAAGCAAAAAACUAUUCGAAGGUACGAGAACUUUGAAGUUAAAUUACUCUGGCAAAGUCAGAGAACAUGUUAUCUUAAAGGGAACAGACAAUAAUCCUAUUCUGCUUCAAUAUUUUUAAACUCUACAGUACACCCAGAAGCACAUAUCUGUUGAGGCUAGUGAUCACCUGGAACAGGGUACAGGGUGCCAUAUGGCUCCAUUGUCAUAGAGUCAUAGUUCAAGUUCAAGUUACGUUUAUUGCCAAAUGCGCCAAUUGGUGCUGUGAGAUUUGUGUUACCAUACAGCCAUACGAAUGAAAAGAACACGAUACACGCUAGAAUUUAACAUGAACAUCCCCACACAGUGGAAACAUAAUCACCAGUGAUACAAUGUGGAAACAGGCCCUUCGGCCCAACUUGCCCACACCGGCCAACAAUGCCCCACCUGCCUGCGCUUGGUCCAUAUCCCUCCAAACAUGUCCUAUUCAUGUACCCGUCUAACUGUUUCUUAAAUGUUGGGAUAGUCCCAGACCCAACUACCUCAUCUACAGUUUGUUCCAUACACCCACCACCCUUUGUGUGAAAAGGUUACCCCUCAGAUUCCUAUCAAAUCUUUUCCCCUUCACCUUGAACCUAUGUCCUCUGGUCCUCGGUUCCCCUACUCUGGGCAAGAGACUCUGUGCAUCUACCUGAACUAUUCCUCUCAUGACCUUACACACCUGUAUCCUCGUGUGCUCCAAGGAACAGAGACCCAGCCUACUCAACCUCUCCCUAUAGCUCAGACCCUCUAAUCCCGGCAACAUCCUCGUAAAUCUUCUCUGAACCCUUUCAAGCUUGACAAUAUAUUUUCUAUAACAUGGUGCCCAGAACUCUAAAGGCAGUCUCACCAACGUCUUAUACAACUGCAACAUGACCUCCCAACUUCUAUACUCAAUACUCUGACUAAAAAGGCCAAAAGCCUUUUUGACCACCUUAUCUACCUGCGACUCGACCUUCAAGGAACCAUGCACCAAUAAAAUGAAAUCUAUAAACCAUCCAGAGUUUCUUCAACAGUACAAACCAAAUCCACAGGCUCUUCUGCUUGAUAAAGCCAAGGGCAGCUUGCAUAUGAAAAUGCCUCCACCAACUCUAAAUUCAUCCACGUCACACAGCAACCGGCUCUGGGAACAUGAUCCCCAUCCUUUGCAGGGCUUGGAUCAGAUUCCUGUAACUCCUAACUAGGGAUCCCAGGGCUUUAUCUCUUGACCUCAGGUACUUGAGCAACUCAGGAGGGCUGUUUAAAGCCUGUCAAGCGGUUAAAGGCAUUUAGGAAACAACAAGAAAUACUGUCUGUGAUAUAACACUAAGAACCCAUGAACAACUCAAAGAAAGAAAUGUCCAGGAAUUCUGCAAUCCUGCAUUUCAAUCUCUUCAAUGUAUGCAUCUUAACACCACCAGUUCCCUGCCUAAAAUUGAUGCAGUUACGCCUCUCAUUAAAAAAAAUCUCCUUAAGAACUCUUUAAGUCUUCUAAACAACAAUCCAACAUGGUUUUUUAACUAAUUUUCUUUGAUGGAUUUCCUGCGAAGUGGCUUUGGAUAAUUUAUUACAUUGAUCGCACCAAAUAAACAAAAACUGCUGUUGAUGUUGUAAUUUGCAACAUUAUAGAUAGCAAUUAUCAUUUUGGAUUAAUGGGGUUAUUACUAAUGUUAUUGCUGUAGUCUUGAUGAGAUUUGAAGCAUUCUAUCACAGAGGAAGACAUUUAUCAUUUACAAUUAUUUACAAUAAGCAAUCGGGAGGAGUGGACAGUAUGCCAAUGGCAUGAGAGAAGGGGGAAUGGCAUGUUGAAUGAGGAUAUUGUGACCUUGCAGGGAAUAUAGAUAGACCAAGCUCAUUAAAACUUUACCUUCAACAGUUGGUAUAUGAUAAAAUCAUGAGAUGGCUCUCGUUCACAGACAAGAUAUAGUUCCUAAAUGGCACACUCAAGGGAGACCACAGAAUGGCCUCCUAAAAGUGGCACCCAAGCAGAUAGAGUGCUAAAGA